AUUGAACGCUGGCGGCAGGCCUAACACAUGCAAGUCGAGCGAGCGGCGGACGGGUGAGUAAUGUAUGGGGACUGCCCGAUAGAGGGGGAUAACUACUGGAAACGGUGGCUAAUACCGCAUACUAUCGGAUAACCCAUAUGGGAUUAGCUAGUAGGUGGGGUAAAGGCUCACCUAGGCGACGAUCCCUAGCUGGUCUGAGAGGAUGAUCAGCAACACGGGGACUGAGACACGGCCCAGACUCCUACGGAGGCAGCAGUGGGGAAUAUGGAACAAUGGGCGCAAGCCGGAUGCAGCCAUGCGGCGUGUAUGAAGAAGGCCUUAGGUUUGUAAAGUACUUUCAGCGGGGAGGCGUUACCCGCAGAAGAAGCACCGGCUAACGCCGUGCCAGCAGCCGAGGUAAUAC
rnacentral:rRNA from 1 species